UCUGUUUUUAUCAUUUUUGUAGAUGUGUAUCAUUUUAUUAAGAAACGACAUGUUGAACAUUUUUAUGAGGCAUAUCAUUCUCAUACUGGCAAACACCAUCCACUGUCAGUAGUAGAGGUAAAAAGAGAGACAGCCAGGAGCAAUGUGAUGAUGAACGAUUGAGAAAAAAACUCUAAAUCAAAGUUACUUUAUUAUUAUCUAUCUAUGAAAUUUAAUUAUAUAUACAUGUACAUAACAUCCCUUAUAGAGGAUGCUAUGUAUUUUCAUUGUCAAAAAAUUAAUACUUCAAA